rnacentral:rRNA from 1 species
CCUACGGGUGGCAGCAGUGAGGAAUCUUGGUCAAUGGGCGAGAGCCUGAACCAGCCAAGCCGCGUGAGGGAAGAAGGUUCUAUGUUUUGUAAACCUCUUUUAUAGGGGAAUAAAGUCGGGAACGUGUCCCUUUUUGUAUGUACCUUAUGAAAAAGCAUCGGCUAACUCCGUGCCAGCAGCCGCGGUAAUGCGGUGGAUGCGAGCGUUGUCCGGAUUUAUUGGGUUUAAAGGGUGCGUAGGGGGUCAAUUAAGUCAGCGGUGAAAGUAUGUGGCUCAACCAGAGUAGUGCCGUUGAAACUGGUUGACUUGAGUAGAUGUGAGGUAGGCGGAAUGCGUGGUGUAGCGGUGAAAUGCGUAGAUAUAACGCAGAACUCCGAUUGCGAAGGCAGCUUACUGGACUAUAACUGACGCUGAGGCACGAAAGCGUGGGUAUCGAACAGGAUUAGAUACCCGAGUAGUC